CGACCCCAGGUCACGUGGGAUUACCCAAAAUAGCCUAGCAUUAGAAUCAGGCGGCUCUGUCAUCCGAAUUAUAGUUUGGAGAAGCGUCCUCAGCGGUGGAGCAGGCCCAACUCCCCUGGAAGUGGGCGCUAGAGAGGGUGAGAGCCCCAUUAUGCCCGGACCCUGUCGCACCACGGGGCACUAUGUACGUGUUGGGUUGUUUUGGAAUGUAGCCCAAAUCGAGCGGUGAAUUCCGUCUAAGGCUAAAUACGAGCGACAGACCGAUAGCGAAUAAUUACCACAAGGGAAAGAUGAAAAGGACUUUGAAAAGAGAGUCAAAGAAUGAUUGAAAUUAUCGGGAGGGAAGUUGAUGGAGGCCGGUGAUGCACCCCGGUCGGAUGUGGAAUGGCGAUGAGUCGGUCCGAUGAUCGACUCAAGGCAUAGACCAGCAUAGAUUGGGGGGACGCCCAAGGCCCGGUCUCCCGAUAUGCUCGUUAAAUGCCGUCUCCUCAAUUGUGGAAGGCAGCGCACACCUCCGACAUGCUUUGGCAUCUGCGCGCUACGGACGCUGGCCUGUGGGCUCCCUAUUUAACCCAUCUUGAAAACCAGUCCCAGUCCCAAACCCAUCGGCCGUUGGUGGACUACUCGAGCUGCUCCUGUAGCGAGAGCAGGUCGCUGCGUGUCGGUUGGGUGACGGACUAGGAACGGUUCCUUCGGAGGCCUUCCCCGUGCGUCGAAUAGCCAACUCAGAACUGGAACGGACAAGGGGAAUCCGACUAUUUAAUUAAAACAAAGCAUUACGAUAGUCCCAACGGAUGUUCACGCAUUGUGAUUUCUGCCCAUUGCUCUGAAUGUCAAAGUGAAGAAAUUUAACCAAGCAUGGAUAAAUGGCGGGAGUAACUAUGACUUUCUUAUUGUAGUCAAAUACCUCGUCAUCUAAUUAGCGACGCGCAUGUAUGGAUUAAUGAGAUUCCCACUAUCCUUGUCUACUAUCCAACGAAACCACAACCAAGGGAACGGGCUUGGCAGAAUCAGCGGGGAAAGAAGACCCUCUUGAGCUUGACUCUACUCCGACUUUAUGAAAUAACUUGAGAGGUGUAGUAUAAGUGGGAGUCGAAAGGUAAAAGUGAAAUACCACUACUUUUAAUGUUAUUUACUUAUUUCGUGAAUCGGAAGUGGGGCACUGCCCCUCUUUUUAGACCCAAGGCUCGCUCUGCAGGCCGAUCCGAGAUGAAGACAUUGUCAGGUAGGGAUUUUGGCUUGGGCGGCAUAUUUGUUAAAAGAUAAUGCAGGUGUCCUAUGAUGAGCUUAACGAGAACAGAAAUAUUGUGUGGAAUAGAAUGGUAAAAGCUUGUUUGAUUCUGAUUUCCAGUAUGAAUACGAACCACGAAAGUGUGGCCCAACGAUCCUUUAGACCUUUGGAAUUUGAAGCUAGAAGUGUCGGAAAAGUGUCACCACAGGGAUAACUAGCUUGUUGCAUCCAAGCGUUCAUAGAACCAUUGCUUUUUCAUCCUUCGAUGUCGGCUAUUCCUAUCAUUGUGAAGCAGAAUUCACCAAGUAUUGGACUGUUCACCCACCAAUAGGGAACGUGAGCUGGGUUUAGACCAUCUUGAGACAGGUUAGUUUUACCCCACUUAUGACAGUGUUGCAGUAGUAAUUCAACCUAGUACGAGAGGAAACAUUGAUUCACACAAUUUUUCAUCGCACUUGGUUGAAAAGCCAGUGGCGCAAAGCUACCGUGUGCUGGAUUAUGACUAAACGUCUCUAAGUCAGAAUCCAGGCUAGAAGCGACGCAUGCGCCCGCUGUCUACUUUCUGAUCCGUAGUAGGGGCCUCGGCCCCCAAGGACAUGUAUCAUUUACUAAGACACCGCGGAGGAAGAGUCUCGGUGGCCGUCUUGAAGUGUAAUUUCCAUCAAGCGGUGGGUAGAAUCCUUUGCGGAUGACUUAAAUAUACGAUGGGUUGUUGUAAGUGAAGAGUGGCCUUGCUGCCACGAUCCACUGAGAUUCAUCUCUUUGUCACUUUAAUUCAU
rfam:Capsicum annuum cultivar Zunla-1 unplaced genomic scaffold scaffold2697, whole genome shotgun sequence